rnacentral:rRNA from 1 species
UACGGAGGGUGCAAGCGUGAUACGGAAUCACUGGGUUUAGAGGGUGAGUAGGCUGCUGCAUAAGUCUGGGGUUAAGGUUUGUCGCUUAACGAUAGAAUUACCUUUGAUACUGUGCGGCUUGAAAUUAGGUGAGGUUGGAGGAAUGUGACAUGUAGCGGUGAAAUGCGUAGAUAUGUCAUAGCACACCGAUUGCGUAGUCAGCUAGCUAACCUAUAUUUGACACUGAGGCACGAAAGCGUGGGUAGCAAACAGG